CAAAAACAUAGCUAUGUGUUAUUACUCAUAGUAUUUUCUGCUCAAUGAGACUUAAAUAGCCGCAGUACCCUGACUGUGCAAAGGUAGCGUAAUCAGUUGUCUUCUAAUUAAAGUCUUGUAUCAACGAACAUAUGGGGGCCCACUUUACCAAUGAUAUAAAACGAAUUUACUCAGAGGGUGCAAAUACCCUUAUAACACAAUAGACGAGAAGACCCUAGAAAUUUUCACAGGCGUUUUUGUUGGGGCAACAUAGUAGCAUUAAAACCUACUUUAUGGGCAAGAAAAUUGUAAGAUAGUAAAAAUUACUCUAGGGAUAACAGCAUAAUGUAUUAUCGUUUGUGACCUCGAUGUUGGAUUAGGAAGUUAUAGCUUAAAAGGUGUUUAACUGCGCUCUGUUCGAGCG
rnacentral:rRNA from 1 species